rnacentral:tRNA from 1 species
GCAGUGGUGGUUCAAUGGUAGAAUUCUCGGCUUCCAUGCAGAGACCCGGGUUCGAUUCCUGACCAAUGCA